AUACGGAGGAUCCGAGCGUUAUCCGGAUUUAUUGGGUUUAAAGGGUGCGCAGGCGGCCAUUUAAGUCAGCGGUUAAAUCGUGGGGCUCAACCCCAUUCUGCCGUUGAUACUGGGUGGCUUGAUUGCGGUCGAGGUUAGCGGAAUUCGUUGUGUAGCGGUGAAAUGCAUAGAUAUGACGAAGAACACCGAUUGCGUAGGCAGCUGACCAGACCGCAAAUGACGCUCAUGCACGAAAGUGCGGGGAUCGAACAGGAUUAGAUACCCUGGUAGUCCGCACAGUAAACGAUGAAUACUUGUUUUCGGCGAUAUAAUGUCGGAGGCGAAGCGAAAGCGAUAAGUAUUCCUCCUGGGGAGUACGCCGGCAACGGUGAAACUCAAAUGAAUUGGCGGGG
rnacentral:rRNA from 1 species